rfam:Oryza sativa Japonica Group DNA, chromosome 8, cultivar: Nipponbare, complete sequence.
UGCAACCAUAACCAUAAGUUUUCACGUCCAACUUUGAUCGUUUGUUUUAUUUGAAUCUUUUUAUAAUUAAUAUUUUUGUUGUUAUGAGAUGAUAAAACAUGAAUAGUACUUUACAAGUGACUUAUGUUUUUAAAUUUAUUCAAAUUUUUUUUAAAUAAGACAGACGGUUAAAGUUGGGUGUGUAAAACCAUGGCUGUACUUAAA